GAUUCGGACACCGCUAAGCAGUCGAGGCAAUUUGCUUAAUUAAUGCGAUUAUGGAGAACUUAUCUAUUCCAUGCAUAUCAUAAGUGAGUGUAUGAGGACUAACGAUUCGACAUGGAGUUAAGGCAAGUGAUUAUAUGUGUUUAUAAGAUGAUGUUUGAUGUCUGUUGCAUUAAAUGAUUAAGAACGCUAUACAAUUUUCGUGGGAGACAGAAAUCCAUUCAUAUUACGGAGAUAACAGGACGAAGCGGUUAGGUAAAACCACAACCCGCAUUGUGGAUAUCAUCAUGAUUUAAUCUAUUACAUUACAUACCCGCGAAUGAGAGAUGUAAAGUUUAGCAUAGAACUUUUUCUACUCGGGUCGUACGUCAGGCAGGCGCAGUCACGUGGCCGGCGAGCGGUACGACACGCUCUCCGGCGGCCGGCAGCAACGCUCAGCCCAUCACGCUAAUGCAGCACCGUUCUUGUCCGAAGAAAUUGGAAUGUGACAAACAAUACUGAAAUUAUCUCACAUCCUUUCACCGGAUACCACACAGAUACGUCUUGCAACUCGCCAUUCAUUUUGAGGGGAUAUUUAAAGAAGGCUUUGAUACAUUUAUCACUCUUUCCGAGGCGCCGGUUUUACAGGAAAGCGCCCUCGGUUUUACUCGGCAGUCCGGAGAAACGGACGCGGGUAACGGGUAAUGGACUCGUUUCCUAUCCGAAGGUGCCAGAGAUCGCGGGAUAUUAACGAUCCGCCUAUCCAAUUGCGGUCCAUCCCUCCCCCUCCCGUAUGGUCGUUUUCCUAACCCUCCCAGAAGGAAAAUUAUCGAACGUCGGGAAGCCCCAAAUAGACCUACACUUUUUUUUUAUUAUCGAUUCGAAGCGACUCCUAAGAAUCGGUAUCUGGCAACCCCCGGACCCGAACGGCAGACCCGAGUCGGGUAGCCGAGAGAGAGCGCGAGGGGGAACCGAGCCUAAUGAGUCUAUCGCAGUGAGACUAUCGCCGCGAAUGGAUUCCCAGCCCCCGAGUCGUUAAGUUUUGUGUGCAUUUCAGGUGAGCUCGCGUGUCGAAGUUGAAAGAGCAAAACAAAAAAAAAAAAGGCAAGUUUUGAGUGAAUGAAAGUUAUGGAUUGUCUCGGGAUCAUCAGCUGAUUCUUUGUGGACUCGCUUCGCUGAUAAACCGUGGCGCGUCGUUUGUUUUUUUGGAAAGAGGAUUUAAA